rnacentral:lncRNA from 1 species
UAGGUAUUACGCCAACUCGGCGGCCGAACCUGGAUAAAAAGCUUGUCCGUGUCCUGCGUCACCAUCGAGUUCGUAGUUUGCGCACCGUCUACCGAUAAACUACUACCGUGGGUAUACCCCAAGGUAGACUGCCGACCAGCUUUCGUCGACAGUGGCGCGCCAGGUAGGGGGUGUGCGUGCAACUUUUCCGACGAACAAGAUGGCCAUCAUCCCCGACUUCGCGGCCAUGGUGGGCGGCUUCACGUUCACCGUCAGCUUCAACAGCUUCACCACCACGACCGCGAAGGAGGCGUAGAUCCAAUCUGUGCCGAUCACUUCUUCACCGACGUCGGCUGCAGCUCCAACCACGCUGGCUACGACUUCGACCACACCAGCAACGUUUCCGACCACGCCGACAACGCGUCGCACGCUUCCCUGCUACAAAGGGAGGCAGAUCGACAACACCGACCUGCUCGGGCCAUCGACCGAAUUGUUUGGCCUACUUGCUUUGACCACCAGUCGCAAUAAUAAUCGCCGCGAAGAACGACGCUAUGACAACAGCGACCACCGUCAUGACAAGUCGAAAAGCUCGAGGGCCGGACAAUUUUGUCGUCACCGACUAGACUUUCUUUCAAAGAUAAGUACACUUCUAAUAUUUUAUUUAUUUUUGGCAUAAUAUUUUUAAGAUUAUUAUUCUUCAAAACAACUUUUUUUUAGCCGACUAGUUUUUUCUCCUACACGAGCUUUCCAGAGCCGGUAUUGUCUCCGACUCCUCCCUACACGUGCACGAGAUCCGCCCUCUGCGUUCCGGGUGGUCGGCAGUACUCUCUGACGUGGCUGACAAUCCUACGCAUGCCUAGGUUCCGCACCUCAUGCUGAUUGUUGGCUAGACCAGAGCUGGUACAAGCUCUAGGAUGAAUUAACUACUUGUGCUAAUUUUAUAACAAAAAAUCUAAAACUUAUCUCAGUACUGAUUUUUAUCUAAAGUUUAUUUAUACAUCAUGUACUACCUAUUCUUUAUAUUUAUUUUUCAGGGGUUUGGCCCAGUCGACAAGCUACGCUCGGGGACUCGUCGACUAUUCCCUACGCUGUGCCCGGGGACUGCUCCGACCACCGAGCACGUUUACGUUCCCAACCACGCUCGGGGACUUGUCGACUACUCUCUAUGCUAUGCUCGAAGACUGUGCCGACCACCGAGCACGUUUACG